CGUGUGCGUGAGAGAGACAGAGAGAGAGAGAGAGACAGAGAGAGAGAGAGCAGGGGACCAGCGACGCAGCAGCUCGACGCACACUGUCAUCCGAGGCUGCUGUGGAGAUGUUGGAUGCUGGCAGCGGUCUCUCCUCAGCCUGUUUUGGGGUCAGUAAAGCAGGAGUAACAGCAGUGUUCUUAAAAAACACUCAUGGAACUGAGAGAACUGUAUAGUUUCUAUUCUCAGUCGGUGAAAUCAGACUUGGGUCGCUUGCUGGUUUCCUCCCAGGACUUUGGGCUUUUAUUGUUUGAUAGAAAGUUGCGUAAAUAUACUGAGUGGACUUGAACCGGAGAUGUGGGAUUUACUCGAAGUUUAUGACCCGAAUGUGUGGAGUGCAGGCAGAAGCACAGUCACACACAAACGCAUCCCAUGUGAGUGAACCUGCGGGGCAACAGGUCAGCAAAGACACACACCUCUUGCUGCUCUGAAGGAACCAUGAGUCAACGACCUGGUCACCGAGAGGCUUCAUUACUCCACAGUUACAGGAAGAAGAAGAAGAAGAGGAGGAGGAGGCAGUGGAGGAGGAAGAAGAGAAGCAGAGUGGGUGGAAGGAUGGAAGGAGAGAAGGAUAGAAGCAGUUCGAGGAGGUGGUUCGAAGCGGGUGAACCCAGAGCAGGUGAACGCAGCUGUGGAUCGCCAUGGGCUCUCUAGCUGCCUUCCUCCCGUGGCCCCAGCGCUGCAUACAGGGGUCCCGGGGAGACGGCAGGGGCCAGCCAAAGCUGCGGCAGAGUGGGCAUGCUAGGCCAUCCGAGCCAGGAGAGAGGCAGGUGAGGCGGGUGAGCCGAGCUCUCAUCCCCGCCGGCUAGGAGCCUCCACGGCAGAGCGGAGCAGCAGAAAUCAAUACAGAGGAGAGAGGCUAGCAGAGGUUGCCCAGCACUGCCUGCAGGCCUCGGAGCCAAGGGACCAACCACCACCACUGCUCCCAGCUCCUCUCUCCAUUUCUCUUUCUAUCUUCCUCCAACAGUCUCAGCAUCAGCCAGGGCCAGGGCCCUAACCUUAUAACCGCCCCACACGCAGUGUGUGUGUGAGUCAGUGUGCGCACAUGUGUGUGUGAAACAGAGAGAAAAAGGCAGAGGGAAGAGACAGAGAGAGAGAGUCUUUGUGUGUGGUUCUGCCGGAGGGGUUUCUGCUGCGUCCAACACCACUUGAUAAAACUUUGUCAGGGAG